rnacentral:lncRNA from 1 species
ACUGGAUGCAGCAGAGUGUAUUUUCCAAAAAUGUAAUAAUAUUUCCCAUUGAAAAUACUCUCCUAUAAACUCGGUGAUUAAAAGGUCACGCACUUUUUCUUUGCUCUGCUAGGACUGUCACUUUUAGCAGAAGUCUCCAUGGUGUGAGGAAGCCCAAACAGCCGGUAUAGAGGACCCGACAUGUGGAGAGGAUCACAACUAAGCUGAGUGGCCUUUCACCAUCACCAACUUGUUAGUCAAGCUGGAGUGGAGUGGCGAGAUCUCGGCUCACUGCAACCUCCGUCGCCCAGUUCAAGCAAUUCUCCUGCCUCAGCCUCCCGAGUAGCUGGGAUUGCAGCCCUUACUGCCCUCCCUUGUUCAUCCCUUCUGAGUCUCCAGUGUCCAUUAUACCACUCUGUACAACUGUGUGUAUGCAUGGCUUCGCUCCCACUUGUAAGACCAUACAUGCUCAGAUUUUGAACUUCUGCAGGAAAAAAACUUGAAUUACAGAAAACUGCUACCCUGUAUCAACACCUUCACCAACUAAAGUUAACCUGAUGAUCUAAUCAUAUAUAUGAAGAGAUAAUUGUCUCUUUGAUAGUCAUGUCAAUUUUGUCUUUUUUUUGUGGCUGCCAUUUUAUUUUUUAUUCUCAUUAGAAAAAAUAUGACAUGUUUUGAUUAAAAUAAGCAUAUUAUUAAGUGGAAGAAAUGUUUGUUUUAAAGCAACCAUCAUUAUAUUAAAUUUAACCUGGGACAUAUGCUAAAAAUGGAAGCUGGUGUCAUAAUGUGCUUCUGGUCCUCUGGGAAACUUAACUCGACAG